CGACCCCAGGUCAGGUGGGGCUACCCG
rnacentral:rRNA from 1 species